UUUGUAAAAAACAUUAUUUACUACAGGUGUUGCACUUGAAUGUUAGUCAGCAUUUCAUAGUUUUACUGAGCCUGAUGUAUUGUAGGUUUUAAGGUGCAGUUUUAUACCUUAAUAAAUUAUUGGAAUUCUGACAGAAACACUUUA